GGCUACACGCGUGCUACAAUGGGUAGUACAGAGAGUCGCAAAGCCGUGAGGUGGAGCUAAUCUCAGAAAACUAUCUCUUAGUCUCGGAUUGUACUCUGCAACUCGAGUACAUGAAGUUGGAAUCGCUAGUAAUCGCGAAUCAGCAAUGUCGCGGUGAAUACGUUCUCGGGUCUUGUACACACCGCCCGUCACACCACGAGAGUUGGUUGCACCUGAAGUAGCAGGCCUAACCGCAAGGAGGGAUGCUCCGAGGGUGUGAUUAGCGAUUGGGGUGAAGUCGUAACAAGGUAUCCGUACGGGAACGU
rnacentral:rRNA from 1 species